GUCCGUGAACUGAGGGGAAAAUGUCUCCCCCUUCAGAUCCGGCUGCGGAAUCCAUCCGCAUAUUUAACAUCAGAAGGAG
rnacentral:ncRNA from 1 species